UAGUCCACGCCGUAAACGAUGGAUGCUAGCUGUUUGAGGUAUCGACCCCUUGAGUAGCAAAGCUAACGCGUUAAGCAUCCCGCCUGGGGAGUACGGUCGCAAGAUUAAAACUCAAAGGAAUAGACGGGGACCCGCACAAGCGGUGGAGCGUGUUCUUUAAUUGGAGGCUAAGCCAAGAACCUUACCAAGGCUUGACAUCCUGUUAAUUUCUCCGAAAGGAGAGAGUACAUUUAUGUAGACAGUGACAGGUGCUGCAUGGCCGUCGUCAGCUCGUGUCGUGAGAUGUUUGGUUAAGUCCAUCAACGAGCGCAACCCUUAUGUUUAGUUGUAUUUUUCUAAACAGACUGCCUUAGUAAUAGGGAGGAAGGAGGGAUGACGUCAGGUCCUUAUUGCCCUUACGCCUUGGGCUAGAAACGCGCUACAAUGGCCAGUACAAUGGGCAGCGAAAUCGCGAGAUGGAGCAAAUCCCACCAAAGCUGGUCUCAGUUCGGAUAGCAGGCUGAAACUCGCCU
rnacentral:rRNA from 1 species